AUCAAAUCGUACACGUCGACGGAAGUGAACGGCUGGAUCUACCUGUGGUACCACGCGGAAGGAUCCGAGCCGACCUGGCAGAUUCCGGUAAUUCCGGAAAUACAGUCAGGGGACUGGGUGUACAACGGCCGGACGGAGCACUACAUUAAUUGCCAUAUAGAGGAGGUCCCGGAGAACGGCGCUGACGUGCAACAUCUGAAGUGCGUGCACACUCCACUGAUGACGUCAGGGAUCGACCUGCGCUACAUGUGGAGCAAGCUGUGGUCGUUUGGAUCCCACUCCUGGACAGCGAGCUGGGAGCCCCACCCCGCCCCAGAGGAACACAUAGGGACCAUGACACUGACCCACUGCUUGUAUCUGUUCGGAAAAGAAAUGAACCUAAUAGACAUGACGGUCAAGGCUAGACAGAUCGGUCCAGGGAUAGUAUAUCUGACAUUCCAGUCCCCGCUCGGUAACGGAGCCUUCCUGCAUCACAUUACUCCAUCAGAGCCCUUGCUACAGAAGCUAGUGCAUAACAUCUACAUACAACGGUACAGCCCCACCGUGGUGGCCAAUUUCCUUAUGCUGGGCGAGGCUAUCCAGGUCGAGCGAGACAUAAUGAUUUGGAACAACAAACGAUAUGAACGGAAACCAAUGUUUGUCAAAUCUAAAGAAGAUUCUUUAGUUGCAAAGCACAGGAGAUGGUACUCUCAGUUCUACUCGGAAAACAGUCCUCGGUUAAAGUUUCAGAAAGACACAAUGGAAUGGUGAUUCCGAUACUACGUAACUAAAUAGAGUUAUCUCCCUUAAGGCACUUGCUAUGGAACAGUAUUUUUUUUUUAAUUGAUCGAAUACUAGUAUAGUAUUAAGUAUCGUUAUUUCAAAUGUGCAAGUUGCCAACCUUACAUUAAUUAUGUAAUGACUGUUUAGCUGCUGUAUGCUUAUGUAGUACUAGUUCUAGAAAUUCAAGAAAAUUCUAGAAAUAGCCACCCAAGAGGUAGGUCAAAAUCAGGGCCACAUUUGGGUGAGAUGUACAAAAUGUGCUGAACUUAUGUAUGCAUGUAAUUUAAAAAAACAACGAAAGGACAACAGGUGAUUGUCAAUAGAUGAAUGUGAUGUCCAGCUUGUAUUGGCACAGAGGAGAUGACGAACAUUCCUCUUUAACACUCUGUUUUGUUUUUCAGUUAUGUUCGAAUUUGUAUUGAAGAUUUUUUCUUAAUUGAAAAGUUUUGUAUCAGUGGGUAUAAGCAAGAUGAUAGUUGUUAUGAAAGAUAGAUGACAUUCAAUUAUUUAUUAUAUGUAUUUAUUGUGUGCAUGUACGUCUGCUUCAUCUGUUUCUACAUCUUGAUUAAACUUCACAACUAC
rnacentral:misc_RNA from 1 species